GGUGUGAAUUCUUGCUAAUGAUUGACUUGUUACGAUAAGUUAGUUUCUUUAAGAAUUGUAAAAGGGAAAAUUGAGUGGUAAAAGACUGAGCGGUGAAACAUAAGAGGGUAAAAGUCUUGUUAUGUGAAAUACGAGGAGAGUGACAUCUUCGAGUGUAAACACAUGAGAGAGUGUGAGAGAAUAUUGUUACUAACACUUUCUUGCAAGUUUUGUAAACAUGUCUCAAGCUAAUAGUGGAGAAGGUAGUGGUAAAAGAAAAAAAUAAGAGGGAAAGGGUUGAAGAAAAUCCUUUUUAUUUACAAGCUGUUCAACAACAAUUUGAAAGAAUGAAUAUGGCAUUUGGUGAUAUUAUUAAUAAGGCUUGAAAGGUUGGAAUAAAGGGAAAGACCUUAUGUAGGGGGAAAUGAAAGGAUGAAUGGAAGGAACAAUAAAAGAGCAAAUAGGAGGGAAAAUAGAAGAAUUGAGGGAGAAUGGGAGGAUGAGCAAUGUAACACCCCUACAUGCAUAAUCCUGUGCAAAUCACUGUUCCGGUGACCGAUGUG
rnacentral:misc_RNA from 1 species